UUAUUGGAGAGUUUGAUCCUGGCUCAGGACGAACGCUGGCGGCGUGCCUAAUACAUGCAAGUCGAGCG
rnacentral:rRNA from 3 species